AAUCGGUGCCAACGAACCAUCAGAGCACUCUAUCCAUGAGAAUGCUUACGGAUUGGCCCGUUAUGCCGUCAUAUGCCAAGAGAACGGACUUGUCCCCAUUGUUGAACCUGAGAUCCUUGUUGAUGGUUCACACGAUAUUCUCAAGUGUGCUGCCAUUACCGAGCGUGUCCUUGCCGCAACUUACAAGGCCUUGAGUGAUCAUCAUGUCAUCCUUGAAGGAACUCUCUUGAAGCCAAACAUGGUGACACCCGGAUCUGAUGCACCAAAGGUUGCACCUGAGGUUAUUGCCGAGCACACCGUUAGAGCUCUGCAGAGAACCGUCCCUGCCGCAGUUCCAGCUGUUGUUUUCUUGUCUGGUGGACAGAGUGAAGAAGAGGCCAGUGUUAACCUCAAUGCCAUCAACCAAAUCAAAGGUAAGAAGCCAUGGACUCUUUCCUUCUCUUUCGGAAGGGCACUUCAACAGAGUACCCUUAAGGCAUGGGGUGGAAAGACAGAAAAUGUGAAGGCAGCUCAAGAUGCUUUGUUGACAAGAGCUAAGGCUAAUUCUGAGGCUACUC
rnacentral:lncRNA from 1 species